GAAAGUGGCAAUUAAAAGGGAAUCAGGUGCAAAUCCUGAACAGUCCCGCUGCUGUAAGUUUCGCAUAUUGUUGCAGGCAAACUCUUUCAUGCCACUGGAUUUUUCCGGGAAGGCGCCUGUAACGGAAACAAGUCAGAAGACCUGCCAUGCAAACAU
rnacentral:ncRNA from 1 species